rnacentral:rRNA from 1 species
CCCUUAGAUGUUCUGGGCCGCACGCGCGCUACACUGAUGCAUUCAACGAGUCUAAAACCUGCUCUGAUAGGGGUGGGUAAUCUUUUGAAUGUGCAUCGUGAUUGGGAUAGAUGAUUGAAAUUUUUCAUCUUCAACGAGGAAUGCCUAGUAAACGCAAGUCAUCAGCUUGCAUUGAUUACGUCCCUGCCCUUUGUACACACCGCCCGUCGCUCCUACCGAUUGAAUGAUCCGAUGAAUAUCAUGGAUUGAGGAUGCAAGUAGGUUCACCUAUCUUCAUCUUCGAGAAGGGAAGUAAAUCUUAUCAUUUAGAGGAAGGAGAAGUCGUAACA